CCAAUGCAAACGAAAUUAUGGGUUGAACCAUAUACGUGAGCACUCAUUCAAUUAGGUCUCCGGCAUCCAAGCGACCGAGGGUUCCAGUGGCUCAGCUUGCGCCUGCGUCAACACGCAGCUAUACUCGCAGUUAUGUCAGCCGCAGCUGCACAGUCGCAGGCCUUCGACUCAUUAGCCAUUUAGAGCGGCGCAGAUGAGGAGUCGGCCGGGGUAGAGGAGUUGUCCCUCGCUUUACAUGAACUUUUUUUCACUGCAUCGGUUUGACCGCCAGGGACGCUCCAGACUCCUUGCUAUAGUCGGUCUGUCCAGGACGGGGCAGUCGUGGCUACUCUGCAUCAGAGUAUACAAAUACACACUCGACGCGUAUCCCGCAUCUCGAGGGAUAUGUGCAGGACAUCCGGACUUCUCCGCUGGUCGCUUCUCCUGUGGAUGCUUAAAGACGACGCCGCUUUGGCCUACAAGUGCUCAGAAGUCUCUGACACGGUGUUCGACCGGGCUUCGGAAUGUGUCCUGAAGGUGAUGCACCCAGCCAUGCUAGAGGCGUUCGGGAAGAGCCAACCCUCUGCGAUCACCGCUUCUGGGACGCCGGACCUUCAGCGAGUCAAGGAAGCGUGGAACAAAAGCUGCACUGCUCAAGCCAACAGCAUUACUGAACUACUGGUGCCAAGUCAAGCUGAUGAAUACUUCACAUAACUGCUGCUGCAGCCAUGAACAAAUGGGCAAUUGGUUGGAAUACUAGUAACAUUUCAAUCCUUCCCAACCCCUCCCAUUUUUUGAGGAUGAAGAUAAAGCCAGGUUGACAUUCAUGGUCGAAACCUGCCUCAACAGCACCAUUUUCACUACUCAGUUCGAGGUGUCAGCAGCAGCCAAGUGACGGGAAGCUCAACACAGCUAUGUCCAGAAAUGGAUCAUGUGCAGGAAGAUUGACAUUACCCCUGGAGUCAAGAAAGAGUCCGAGAUUUUGGCAAGCUAUAAAAAGAAAAUACCAGUGUA